rnacentral:lncRNA from 1 species
CUGCAAUUAACCAAGGGUGGCCGGGCGUGAGAGGUCCCCGCCCCCUGCUGGCUCCUGACUCUGUUUUAAACCAGCUUUCCUUUUAUUAAUUUUCUUCGGGGUCAAUGAGAGAGAGGCCUUGCCGAGAGGGGUGUAAGUCUCUACCUGCUAAACGGAAGAGGAGCUGACCACCACCAGGUGGUAGACAUGACCCACAAUCAGGAUUCUCGAAGGCGAUGGAGAGAAAAGGAAAAUCUGCCCUCUCAGAGGAUAAUCAUAUAAAUGAAGAAAGAGUUAUAUCAGAGCACAGAGCCAGGCCAGGGGGCACCUGGCCCACGGACCAAGAUAACCCGACACAGCCAGACUCCUGCUAUAGAUCAUACCUACGUGACAUCAGCCAUUCAAGUCGUCCAACUGAUUCCCUUUGUGCCACUUCUGUGCUCACCAAGUAAUCCUACUGGAAUCUGGCUUCCCACAUAGAUUUUGCAAAUAGGACAAAAAUGUACUGGGGCGCCUGGGUGGCUCAGUCGGUUAAACAUCUGACUUCGGCUCAGGUCACGCUCUCACGGUUGGUGAGGUUGAGCCCCGUGUCAGGCUCCGUGCUGACAGCUCCUCCCUGUCUUGUGCUCUCUUUCUCUCAAAAAUAAAUCAACAUUAAAAAAAAAAAAAUGUAUCGGU